rnacentral:ncRNA from 1 species
UGCCCUGGAUGCAAGGCGUAAAAAGGCACAUCCAAAGGGACGUGAACCCGUAAAAAACGUA